AUGGGCGACCCGGCGCCGCCCGCGUGGAUGGCCGCCGCGGCCCGCAAGUGGCUCGAGGACGCCGGCGCCAUCGCGGAGGACGGCGCCGGCGACGGCCGCAGGGCUUUUAACGCGCUGCCGCUGUUCGGCGUGCGCGUGUCCCUUGCCGAGCGCGGCCGCGCCGUCUGCUCGCUCCGCGUGCCCGCCCGCCUCACGGACGCGGACGGGAACUGGCACGCGGGGGCUAUCGCGGCGGCGGUGGACGACGUGUGCGCGGCGGCGAUCAUGUCGGUGGAGGGCAUCAUCAAGGUCUCCGUCCACUACGACAUCUCCUACUUCGCGCCGGCCAAGCACCAUGAGGAAGUGGAGAUGGACGGGAGGGUGGUCGACCGGAAAGGGAGGAUGACGGCGGUGACCACGGAGGUCCGGAAGAAGGAGUCCGGCGCGCUGGUGGCGAUCGGCCGGCAGUGGAUGACCACCUCCAGACCAAAGGGAUAUCAAGGGAGCAAGCUAUGA
rnacentral:rRNA from 1 species